CGACAGGGAAAAACCAAACAGUCCAACUGGAAAAUGCACAAAAGACUAGAACAGCCAUACUUUAGGAGAAGAUUGAAAUAGCCAUUUAAACUGUCUGUGGAGAAAAUAUGGCCUCACUGAACCAACUACUUGGGUGCCCUUUCAAUUACAGCAAGACUCCCAGCCAUUUAGGCUAAAAAGAGCUCUGGAGAUUCCCUUAUUCAAUAGCCUCAUUUCACAGGUGAGGAAAACAAGACCAGAAGAAGAUGCUCCUCUUUCAGGGAAUAAGUGGUUUUCAAGCUGUUCGUUCAUUCAAUUGUUUGUUACUUGUUCAAUCUGAGCACCUAUGAGCCAGAUAUGUAUUGU
rnacentral:lncRNA from 1 species